rnacentral:ncRNA from 1 species
GCAGAGUAGGUUUGUGCGCGUCAAGUGUCGGCUGGACGGGGAGUUGUCAGCCGGACGAAAAGAAAUGACGGAGUUUCUUGCGAUGCACAGGUCGCAUCCCGCUGC